UACGUAGGGGGCAAGCGUUGUCCGGAAUUAUUGGGCGUAAAGAGCGCGUAGGCGGUCCGAUAAGUCGGCUGUGAAAGUCCAGGCUCAACCCUGGAAAGCCGGCCGAUACUGUCGGACUAGAGUCCGGAAGAGGAGAGUGGAAUUCCUGGUGUAGCGGUGAAAUGCGCAGAUAUCAGGAAGAACACCAAUGGCGAAGGCAGCUCUCUGGGACGGUACUGACGCUGAGACGCGAAAGCGUGGGGAGCGAACAGG
rnacentral:rRNA from 1 species